rnacentral:rRNA from 1 species
UACGAAGGGGGCUAGCGUUGUUCGGAAUUACUGGGCGUAAAGCGCACGUAGGCGGACAUUUAAGUCAGGGGUGAAAUCCCAGAGCUCAACUCUGGAACUGCCUUUGAUACUGGGUGUCUUGAGUAUGGAAGAGGUGAGUGGAAUUCCGAGUGUAGAGGUGAAAUUCGUAGAUAUUCGGAGGAACACCAGUGGCGAAAGGCGGCUCACUGGUCCAAUUACUGACGCUGAGGUGCGAAAGCGUGGGGAGCAAACAGG